UACGAAGGGGGCUAGCGUUGCUCGGAAUCACUGGGCGUAAAGGGUGCGCAGGUGGUUUGGCAAGUUUGACGUGAAAGCCCCGGGCUUAACCCGGGAAUGGCGUUGAAAACUGCUUGAACUGGAGGGUUGGAGGGGGGACUGGAAUUCUUGGUGUAGCAGUGAAAUGCGUAGAUAUCAAGAGGAACACCAGUGGCGAAGGCGAGUCCCUGGACAAACCCUGACACUGAGGCACGAAAGCCAAGGGAGCAAACAGG
rnacentral:rRNA from 1 species